CCAGUCUAGAGGCGUGUUCUCUGAAAAAUGUAAACAUUGCCAUUUCUCAGAAAAGGUAAUGUUUUACACUGUCAGAUAAGAUGUAUGCACCAAAACCACUUUUUUGAGUUGUGCUCAAUGUGUCACUUUAAGACAGCCUCUCAACUGCUCAGCAAGCAGUGCUUCUACAGCUAUUAAUAGUUCAGCAGCGAUGUUGAUUUGUGUAUGGUGCUAGAGUGUAGCAAAAUUACAUUGAAGACCAAUACCACUCCUGGAAUCUCCCUCUAAUUUUAUUUUGGCACCUUCCUUAAAGGAACACUAUAGGGUCAUGAACACAAACAUGUAUUCCUGACUCUGUAGUAUUAAAACCACCAUCUAGCCCCCCUGACCAUCUGCCUCCCCUAAAUAUAGCAAAAUCUUACCUUUA